GUCUGACGGUGGAAAAUUGGCUGCUUAAAUCCUAACAAAGGACAAUAGGUGUGAUUAUUAUGCGGCGGACAGUUUGAGUUAAGAGGGGCUGUUCUACUUGUCAUGGCAGACCCCGACUCCAUCAGUCUUCUCGCUCUCCUCUCUGUGUCUGCCUUGUCCUGGAUGUACUCCUGAAAUCAUACUCUUGGUUAGUAAAAAAUUGUCGCUGCCCCUGCUCCACUUCCUCCUCCAGUCGCCCCAAACGCUGCAGCAGCUCCCGGUGGCUGAUGGACAGGGUC